rnacentral:rRNA from 1 species
CACGUAGGGCGCAAGCGUUGUCCGGAAUUAUUGGGCGUAAAGUGUGCGCAGGCGGCCGCGCAAGUCGAGUGUGAAAGCCCCGAGCUUAACUUGGGAAUUGCGCUCGAAACUACGUGGCUGGAGUGUGGCAGAGGAAGGUGGAAUUCCACGUGUAGCGGUGAAAUGCGUAGAGAUGUGGAGGAACACCGAUGGCGAAGGCAGCCUUCUGGGCCAACACUGACGCUCAUGCACGAAAGCGUGGGGAGCAAACAGG